CUAUUAUGUAUAUUAAUUUAUGUAUGCUCUAAUACGAGCAAGUAGCUCUUGUGCAAAGUG
rnacentral:sRNA from 1 species